rnacentral:rRNA from 1 species
CCUACGGGUGGCAGCAGUGGGGAAUAUUGGACAAUGGGGGGAACCCUGAUCCAGCCAUGCCGCGUGUGUGAAGAAGGCCCUCGGGUUGUAAAGCACUUUCAGUGAGGAAGAACGCCUGGUGGUUAAUACCCAUCAGGAAAGACAUCACUCACAGAAGAAGCACCGGCUAACUCCGUGCCAGCAGCCGCGGUAAUACGGAGGGUGCGAGCGUUAAUCGGAAUUACUGGGCGUAAAGCGCGCGUAGGUGGCUUGAUAAGCCGGUUGUGAAAGCCCCGGGCUCAACCUGGGAGCGGCAUCCGGAACUGUCAAGCUAGAGUGCAGGAGAGGAAGGUAGAAUUCCCGGUGUAGCGGUGAAAUGCGUAGAGAUCGGGAGGAAUACCAGUGGCGAAGGCGGCCUUCUGGACUGACACUGACACUGAGGUGCGAAAGCGUGGGUAGCAAACAGGAUUAGAUACCCCAGUAGUC